rnacentral:rRNA from 1 species
UUUAUGGAGAGUUUGAUCCUGGCUCAGGAUGAACGCUGGCGGCGUGCCUAAUACAUGCAAGUCGAGCGAACGGACGAGAAGCUUGCUUCUCUGAUGUUAGCGGCGGACGGGUGAGUAACACGUGGAUAACCUACCUAUAAGACUGGGAUAACUUCGGGAAACCGGAGCUAAUACCGGAUAAUAUUUUAAACCGCAUGGUUCAAAAGUGAAAGACGGUCUUGCUGUCACUUAUAGAUGGAUCCGCGCUGCAUUAGCUAGUUGGUAAGGUAACGGCUUACCAAGGCAACGAUGCAUAGCCGACCUGAGAGGGUGAUCGGCCACACUGGAACUGAGACACGGUCCAGACUCCUACGGGAGGCAGCAG